GAGUAACACGUGGAUAACCUACCUAUAAGACUGGGAUAACUUCGGGAAACCGGAGCUAAUACCGGAUAAUAUUUUGAACCGCAUGGUUCAAAAGUGAAAGACGGUCUUGCUGUCACUUAUAGAUGGAUCCGCGCUGCAUUAGCUAGUUGGUAAGGUAACGGCUUACCAAGGCAACGAUGCAUAGCCGACCUGAGAGGGUGAUCGGCCACACUGGAACUGAGACACGGUCCAGACUCCUACGGGAGGCAGCAGUAGGGAAUCUUCCGCAAUGGGCGAAAGCCUGACGGAGCAACGCCGCGUGAGUGAUGAAGGUCUUCGGAUCGUAAAACUCUGUUAUUAGGGAAGAACAUAUGUGUAAGUAACUGUGCACAUCUUGACGGUACCUAAUCAGAAAGCCACGGCUAACUACGUGCCAGCAGCCGCGGUAAUACGUAGGUGGCAAGCGUUAUCCGGAAUUAUUGGGCGUAAAGCGCGCGUAGGCGGUUUUUUAAGUCUGAUGUGAAAGCCCACGGCUCAACCGUGGAGGGUCAUUGGAAACUGGAAAACUUGAGUGCAGAAGAGGAAAGUGGAAUUCCAUGUGUAGCGGUGAAAUGCGCAGAGAUAUGGAGGAACACCAGUGGCGAAGGCGACUUUCUGGUCUGUAACUGACGCUGAUGUGCGAAAGCGUGGGGAUCAAACAGGAUUAGAUACCCUGGUAGUCCACGCCGUAAACGAUGAGUGCUAAGUGUUAGGGGGUUUCCGCCCCUUAGUGCUGCAGCUAACGCAUUAAGCACUCCGCCUGGGGAGUACGACCGCAAGGUUGAAACUCAAAGGAAUUGACGGGGACCCGCACAAGCGGUGGAGCAUGUGGUUUAAUUCGAAGCAACGCGAAGAACCUUACCAAAUCUUGACAUCCUUUGACAACUCUAGAGAUAGAGCCUUCC
rnacentral:rRNA from 1 species